CGGCAUUAGUUUCUUUGUUAUGCAGGCUGUACACUAUCGCCGAACUUAGACAUGCCGAGGCAAAUUCAGGAUAAGUUUGAGAGCUUCUACCGCUAUGAAAAAUACCGCUAUAAUAAAUAUAAAUAAUGUAUCUUGUUAGGCAAACUACACGGUGAUAGUGUGGAGCCGGCAUUAAACGUUCGUCAACAAUAUCCAUACAUCAACAAAAAAGAAAUGCAAAUCCCUUGAAAAUAAAAUCCGUAUAUUGGCUACUUAUUUGGGGAAUAUAAUUAUAAUAGGUAAAAACAAACGAUAAUUAAUGGGAACACCGACGACCGGGUCGACAAGAAUACACCAAAGCAUACAAACCAUUUGUACAAACCCCACAUAAUUUUGUUUUUGACAUUUGGAAAAAAGUAUCAUUUAAUUUGAACUACCUACCUACAUUAUAUUACCCUCCCUAUUUGGUUUUCCGUUAUUUGGUUUUUAACUGUUUUGCGCGAACAAACAAGGUGUAUAGAUAUAGAUGAGAAAGUGCAAUUCAAGCAAACAGGCUGCAAUGCGAGUGCAAUUCAAUAGUUUUCCGUGCCUGCAGCUGUAAGCCACGCGCGCCGGUUUAACGCCAUUGCUACGCCAACUUUCCAACGCGCUGCCUCACUUUUAUCCAUUCAUAUGGUAAAUGUAAUGAUGGUAUGAAAACGGUCCCGGCAUUCAACUUCACACGGCGCCAGGGCGGAAAGGAUAAAGGACCUUUGUUUAUCUAUUUGCCUGAAUGCGCCCGGGUGCCUGCGAGCCUCCCUCGGAAUAAAAUGCUCACAUUUGUAUGGUGCACUGUACAAUGUAAUGGCGCAUGUUUAUUUAGUAGUGCGAGUUUGCGAGGCCCCCCGUGGACUGCGAAUCUUCAUGGAAUACGCAAAAAACGAUCGGAACAAAAGAAGCUGAUUGGAGAAAUGGUCGACAUUGAGGGCGAUGAGGAGGUGCGAAGGGCCACUAAGCCCGGACAUCUUGGGUAAUUGCAAUCCAAUAUUGCCUGUUGACCUUUAUUUUGCUAACCUUUACAUUUGCCGUUUAUUUUUCUAAUGUGCGAAGUUUCUUGGUUCAGGUGACUAAGAGAUAUAAUAAAAUGUUUUUUUACAUUCAAUGCCUGUGGUUUUCAUUUUCAUUUUAUUUGUUUAUAACGUAUCCAUGUUCAGUUUGUAGUGUCGGUCUGCAAUAUUUUUCUCACUACUAAAUUGAAAAAACUUUAGCAUCUUUGGGCGCAAGUGUAUGUUUUGAUUUCGUUUUUCGAUAAAUAAACUUUAUUUCUCUCUAGAAACAUACCUAGUCUUGUAAUUGAAACAAUGCGUGGGUGAGAAGGUAGUCAAGUUUCCUAUCGCUUGUUAUUCUGGCGUCAAAUACGACGAAACUGAUAACAAUAAAGUAGUCGGGUUCCGUUGAUAAUAUCAACUUCGAAGACGAAACUUUCAGGAUAUGUUUGAGAUCUU